UACAGAGGUCCCAAGCGUUGUUCGGAUUCACUGGGCGUAAAGGGUGCGUAGGCGGUCGGGUAAGUCUGACGUGAAAUCUUCAAGCUUAACUUGGAAACUGCGUCGGAUACUAUUCGGCUGGAGGAAUGGAGGGGAGACUGGAAUACUUGGUGUAGCAGUGAAAUGCGUAGAUAUCAGGAGGAACACCGGUGGCGAAGGCGGCAUCCUGGACCGGCAUUGACGCUGAGGCGCGAAAGCCAGGGGAGCAAACGGG
rnacentral:rRNA from 1 species